rnacentral:piRNA from 1 species
UGACAGUGUCACUGAUAGAGGUCUCGC